AAUGCCUGGUUUGUGCUAAGGAGAGAAAGGAGAAAAGUAUGUCAUAGUUACUUCUUCCAGGAACUAUGGGAACUAGAGUCCAGUGGAGAAACAGUUCUUGGAUACUUGAAACAUUGAUGUUAUGGAUAAAAGAGCUUAUAGUUGAUGACAAGAGUGAAAGAGGAACUCCCCUAAAAGUGUGCUCAGGGUGAGGAAGCUCUGUUAGGGGGUAAGGUUUAAUUUUAGCUGGUUCAUGUAGGAUGAAUUGGAUUUAGAAUAGCUAGAAAUGAGCUAUUCCAUGGAUUCUUGCAGAGUUCAGUUUGGUAUAAGAAAGGGUUUGUUUUCAAAUAAAAUAACUUCAGGAAGAUUGGUAAGCAUUGGAACUAAGAGUUUUUCCAAGUAAAACUGUAUUUAUUUUCAUGAAAGAGAGGGCAAAAUAAAGAAGAAAUGAUCAGUGAUGUUGGCAUAAUUCUUGUGUAAAACGAUCCAGCAUAAUGUAGGCACUAAAUAUUGGCAAAGGAUCAGGUGUUAACUGUUCAGAUGGGUGGUUAUUGUUCUGAUAAUGAAGAAUAAGUGUCUCAAAAUUGUUGCCUACUAAGAGGGCAGAAAUAGGAAUAAUGUGCAUUUUUAAGACCCUGUAAAUAUUUUAUUUGUUCAUAACCAGCACCUUUAUUGAAAGGAAACACUUUUGCUAUUUUGUGACAAUUUAUCUUAUUAGACAUGCAACAAGAUCUGACUGAUGACCAGAAAAGUAAGGGUUGUCCUUCUGUCUUCUCAUCCCACCUCAGAGUGACCCAUUAGAGAUUACUUUUCUUUUUUUCUUCAAGAUUGCUUUAGAGCUUGCAGUAGAAAUGACAUAAAACUGUGAUUUUUGAGUUCCUCUGGGCCAAGCAGCCAGGAGCAGUUUCAAUUUCUAGAAAGAAGCAAGGCUGAAUUCUUGUUGGUUUUUUUUCUUGAGUGUGCUGUUCUGGAAUAAAUUCUUCUCAUGAGUUUUAAAAAUUAGUCUGUAUGUGAAAGUUGCCCAAGAAUUAGAGGAUAGAGGGGCCGGAAAGGGAAAGAAGAAACACAAAACAGCCUAGCUAUUCUACUGUUGUUGUUGUAAUCAAUAGAAUAACUCAACAAUGGCAAAUAUUCUUUGUGCCGAUUGAAAAGAAAUGGACUCUUUUACUAUUGAGCAGGUUAUGCUUGUGUAUGAAGUUUUGCAAUUGAAACUUUAAAUUGUUCACACAAGGACCGGUUAUUCAAUUUAUAAAGCAGUCACUUAGAUAACUUAUCUCAUUCUUUAAAUGUUUUAUACCUACUUACCAGCUAAGCUACCCUGGCGUACGUGGGUAGCUAUACCUCUUCUUUCGCUGCUUGCCUUUCCCCCCACAUCUUCAUGUACUGUGAUCAUCUUUCCAAGCCAAAACAUCUAGAUUUCCCUCAUCCUUAUGAAUGGCAUGGCAAUAUUGGAUGGAACAGAAUGGAUGGGUGUGUGUGUGUGUGUGUGUGUGAAUUAGAAAUGGCAUGCAACAUUUUUCAAAUAGAAAAUCCUUUGCUAAAGUUACCCAUAAAGGGCAAAAUACAUUCUGUCUUUACGGAUCCACACACAAGACAAAAGCCUUCUAUGGUCUGCAUAAAGUCUCCUGCAGCUUGGGCUGGCCUCCAUUCUUUUUUUAAGGAGAAAUCUGAUUUUGAUGGUUCCAUUGCCCUUCUUCUCUGUGGAACCUAACAAAAAGAUAGAAGUGAACUUAUUUGCAGAACAGAAACAGACUCGAAGACUUUGAAAAACUUAUGAUUACCGAAGAGGACAGGUGGGGAGGGGAGGGAGGUAUGGACUAGGGGUUUAGAAUAUUGGAAAUAUUCUAAAAUUAUGUUGUCAUGAUGGUUGUACAACUAUAAAUAUAAUACAAUUCAUUGAAUUAUUAAAAAAUGAAGUAAAAUUAUGGCGGAGCUUUAGCUUCCUAACUGCUCUCCGUAUUCACUGAGGGAUCAGCUCCUUCCUUCCCUAUUCUCCUGGAGUUGGCAGGCAUCGUGGGCAUGUUUGGGUGUCCUGAAGAUCUGCACCAGCUCUCUUCUCUUUAAGAUUAAUUUUGCUGCUUUAUUGUAAGUAGAACUGGAACUACUCUUCUGUAAGGUGUGGUGCAGGACUUGGUCCUGUUUUCAGAGAAUCUUCCAUCCUUGCUUUCUUCCCUCAUUUUGAACACACCUUGAUGUUUUGGUCUGCCUGAUUAUAACGAUACUAAAUUAUUUUAUUUUACCUAUGUGGAUCAAAAAUUUCCAGUUCAUUUAUUCACAUCUCUGCAAAUAUUGCUGUAUAAAAGUGACUUGAAGGUUGUUUUUCAUACAACAAAGAACAAUAUCUCAUAUCUUUAAUUUCAGCCCCAAGGUUGAAAUAAAUGCGUUUUAACAAAACAGAUUUAUUGGGAAGUCAAUGCUGAGAAGGAAAUGUGUCUAUUAUCUAUUUAGGAGUUUACUGAAGAUAGUCACUUUUGUAAUUUAGGAAAUAAAGUCUUUCAGAAAUAUACAGAAUUAAUCUUACCUUUUGAGUUGUUAUAGAAGGAGAGAAUUCUUAUUUGUUCAAAAUUCAGGUGAAGUUUAAUACUGUUGCCUAAAGCCCACCGGCUUCAUUUUGUGUGACAUCACCAGGCAGCACAAUGCCACCAUAUGCAUCAUGACUCCCAUUCUUCAAAGAAAAAAAAUUAAAAUGGGUCAGUGGGAAAAGAAAAAUUUAAUGUCUUUUAAAUAGAGGAACUUGAGAAAACUCCAUAGUGCUCACCCACUUGGAGAUAUUUCCACGGAUUGGUAGCUAAGCAUUUAGACUAGAUAGGUUUAUUUCUACAUGUAAAAUGAUAUCUGUACCAAGAAAUAUUUGUGAAAUAGGAAAUCUCUAGAAAAUAAUGAAAAAUUAUGAAGCAUGCCCACAGACAAGAGUC
rnacentral:lncRNA from 1 species